rnacentral:rRNA from 1 species
UAACUUCGGGAGAAGGCACGCUGGCGGUAGGUGAAGGAGUUUGCCUCCGGAGCUGAAGCCAGUCGCAGAGACCAGCUGGCUGCAACUGUUUAUUAAAAACACAGCACUGUGCAAACACGUAAGUGGACGUAUACGGUGUGACGCCUGCCCGGUGCUGGAAGGUUAAUUGAUGGGGUUAGCCGCAAGGCGAGGCUCUUGACAGAAGCCCCAGUAAACGGCGGCCGUAACUAUAACGGUCCUAAGGUAGCGAAAUUCCUUGUCGGGUAAGUUCCGACCUGCACGAAUGGCGUAAUGAUGGCCAGGCUGUCUCCACCCGAGACUCAGUGAAAUUGAACUCGCUGUGAAGAUGCAGUGUCCCCGCGGCAAGACGGAAAGACCCCGUGAACCUUUACUAUAGCUUGAYACUGAACAUGGAGCCUUGAUGUGUAGGAUAGGUGGGAGGCUGAGAAGUGCGRACGCCAGUCUGCRUGGAGCCAUCCUUGAAAUACCACCCUUGAAUGUUCGAUGUUCUCACCUGGGCCCGUAAACCGGGCCGGGGACAGUGUCUGGCGGGUAGUUUGACUGGGGCGGUCUCCUCCCAAAGGGUAACGGAGGAGCACGAAGGUUGGCUAAUCACGGUCGGACAUCGUGAGGUUAGUGCAAAGGCAUAAGCCAGCUUAACUGCGAGAGUGACGGUUCGAGCAGGUACGAAAGUAGGUCUUAGUGAUCCGGUGGUUCUGAAUGGAAGGGCCAUCGCUCAACGGAUAAAAGGUACUCCGGGGAUAACAGGCUGAUACCGCCCAAGAGUUCAUAUCGACGGCGGUGUUUGGCACCUCGAUGUCGGCUCAUCACAUCCUGGGGCUGAAGUAGGUCCCAAGGGUAUGGCUGUUCGCCAUUUAAAGUGGUACGCGAGCUGGGUUUAGAACGUCGUGAGACAGUUCGGUCCCUAUCUGCCGUGGGCGCAGGAAGAUUGAAAGGGGCUGCUCCUAGUACGAGAGGACCGGAGUGGACRCACCGCUGGUGUACGGGUUGUCAUGCCAAUGGCAUAGCCCGGUAGCUAAGUGCGGGAGAGAUAACCGCUGAAAGCAUCUAAGCGGGAAACUUGCCUUGAGAUGAGUCUUCCCCUGACUGAGGUCACGGAAGGAACGUUUAAGACGAAGACGUGGAUAGGCUGGGUGUGUAAGUGCAGCGAUGCAUUGAGCUGACCAGUACUAAUGAACCGAGAGGCUUAACCUUACAACACCGAAGGUGUUU